AACUGGUAGAAGAAGAACGGCCAAAUGGCUCUGAAAAAAAUGCCUGAAAAUCACUUAAAUUGGACCCAAUUUGUUGCGACAAGUACACAUUUCAAAAGGCUGCUACCCAGACUGGUUUAUUGACGAAGAUGACAAUGUCUACUCAAAUCAGCUCCUUGAAGCAAGGCUAGUGGAAAUGUGGAGGUUGAAGUGAACUUAAAGUCCCAAGGUACGAGCAUCGAGUCUGAGCCAAAGACCAUAGUGACCCAAGUCCGACAUCAUGAGUUAUACUUGAGGAGUUGUCGUACAACACUGCUUUGCAUGGAGGACUAACAAUUUGAAGAGUCGCCCUGGGACGAACUCAGCAGACGGCAUCUACCACAGCCAACAGAGAAAUCCACUGCGCAUCCUACUUCUGAACUCGGUGUCAGCAGAGCAAGCCUUCACUGUGGUGACCUCAGGACUGACACGCACUCAUCACUGGUGCCAGGAAGCUUGAAUUAAUGGGCAUGAUACUCUGUGAUGGAUUGGUGAGGGUCAGCAUGCCAGUUUCAUCACCAUCCCCCAUUGGUCGAGAAGUAAAUGCCGGGAUGUUGUUGUAACAAGUCGCCGCACAUUGUGGAUUCUCAGUAUUUAAUUCUGUUUUGUGUUAAAACGUCUAGCAGUCAACAAGUAUAUGUUUGAGAUCAACCUAAUGACGUAGUUCCACUUUCCCAGUAAAAGAGCCAGAGGUGAAGCUAGUGGUUCCCUGGAAUCAAGUGCAGAUGGAAUCACCACUACUGACACCUUAAAGGCUACAGGAACAAGAGAGCAACCCGUAUGAAUACAUCGUUUUCAUCAAGACAUCUUAGCUGUUCAUCAAGCAAUCAUGACUGAACAACCAAGCAGUUUGUUGCCUUCAAAAAGACGGAGAUAAAGGGAAUAGUUUCCUGAAAAGAUUUUCAGAAUGGAAUCACCACUACUGAUGUCAUCAAAGAUACUGGAUAUAGAGCGACGCAUAUUAAAACAUCGCUAUCGUCAAGACAUCUUUUAUAGCUGGAAGCAAUUAUGGAUGUAACAAUCAGUUUGUUGUCUUCAACAGUAAGGUAUUAUAAAUGUGUUUUUAUUAACUGAAUAAGUUGCAACGUAUUCAGAACACUGCUGCCUGCUUUUGGUACAGUCUCCAAGAUAUAAGCACAUCAUCCCUAUUCUUCGCUGUCUCUGCCCACUAGCUGCCAAUCACAGACAUUUGUGCUCAAGCCAUGGUUGCUCACUUACAAGUCUCAACAUGAUCUCGCUCCUGCAUGUAUCUACAAACUUAAAAACUCAUAUAAACCCCCUCGUCUUCGCUCAUCAUCACAGUGUCUACUGCAAGCUCCCCACAGAGCCUCUGAACUUAUAACCUUGUCUACACAUCCUUGUUGUCUUCGCUCAUCGUCACAGUGUCUACUGCAAGCUCCCCACAGAGUCUCUACUUCGCAUUAUGGGGGUUGAUGCUGCUCCCAUCUCAAGGAACAGUCUUCCUCUUAUUGUUCGCCCAGCUACUUCGGUCACUUCCUUCAAGAGUCGUCUGAAAACUCAUCUGUAUUCGUUUAAUGAUGCACUUUUUGUGCUUUUAAUUCUCGUUUUUUGCUGAUCAAUUCUGUGUUGUUUUUAUAGCCAGAUGCUGAGGAUCUUGGCUAAGGGUGUAAGUGCUGGUAACCUCUCCCCUUUUUAAAUAUGUUUUUGAGUUAAUGUUGCACUUCUUGUGCUUUUAAUUAUUGUUUUAGCGGAUCAUUUCUGUGUUGUUGUUUAUAUAGCCAGAUGCUGAGGAUCUUGGCUAAGGGUGUAAGUGCUGGUAACCUCUCCCCUUUUAAAUAUGUUUUCUUUUAAUGGUAUGCUUACUUUUGUGUAGAGGUGUGAAGGCACUGGACACUAUUGGUAAUUACUCAAAAUACUUUUUAGCAUAACAAUUUACUUUUUAACUUG